AACUAUUUCUGGGAAGAGAGAGAGGAAGGGGAGGGAAGCCCCUGUCGGCUGGAAACUAAAUGAACAAGAGCAAAGAGCAUGAGUCUGGUGUCUCAGGGUGGUCUGGAGCCCACCUACCAAGACACUUCUUAACGUAGACCACGUUUCGGGAGAAAACAGUUCUGAUUUUUCAGUCUAGUGACUUGGUGCUGAGGACCUGGAGUGAACGGGAAGAACAAACCCUGACGAGAGGAGAGACGGCUCAGAAGACAACAAAACGUGUACUGCUUUCCUCGCUGGGCUUGCAAAGGGGGCACUGUGCCUCUUUCACCCUCUGAUUGGUUGGAGUCCAGUGAAAUGGUGGUGCCUAUUUUAACCCCCGAAUCAAGCACUGGAAGUCCUUCGAGAUGGAUUUUGAAAUUAGCUUUUGAGGGAACUGUGAUGUGGCUGGACUGACCUGCAGAAGAUGGUACGGCUGGGUCUGCGAGCUGGGCACUGCUGCUCCCGGACAGCUGCCAACGCAAGAACAGAAUCAUCAUGCCACAGGGAAGGACCCGUUGGAUGCAGAAAAUUCUAUGCAGAGAGCGCUCAGGCAUUUUGACGUGAACUGCACUUCCUUCUGCUAUAAGGGCAUACUCGCUCCGUACACAGGGCUGCAUGAUCUGCCACUGCUGAAACAGGAGGUGGUGGUAAUUUUGAAAACGAUCCAUGCUGUAAUGUCAUGAACCAGGAAGCUGGAAUCAGUUACCAGCUCUUUAUGCAAAUAUUUGGCUGCAGCUUGGGCGAAAGGACUUGAAAGGCGUGGGUUUUAAAAAACCGGCUUCGGUGCGAGCUCGCAUUCACCCCAUCCCUCCCCCGGAUUGGCCUGUUUGUCUGCCUCCCCACGUUAUCUCCCUGAGGAAAAGCUGUGGAAAGUCACCCGGAUCGAAUCACCCCCGACCCGGGGGACCCUGGCCCAGGAGAAGCAGUGGAGUUACCGGACAUGGUGGCCAGCUGAGGCUGGGUCGGUGGCUGGAUGCUGCAGCUGCAGGGGUUCAGCGCCUUGCAGGGCUCCUGUGCAGGAGAGAAGCAGAGAUGCAACAUUUUUAAAGUUUCACAAAGCAUCCGGCUGCACCCGGGCCCCUGGAGCAGGAGACAAACAGAAUUAAUGGUUUAUACCUUCGGGUAUAGGUUUGAGAUUUUUCCCCCUCAUGCCAAGUAUUUAAAACCUCUAGAAACCCAUGAUUUGACAAUCAAUGAUUGCGCGAUACUUUCAAUUUGAAUAUUCAAAGGGCAGAC